UGUUAAAAUUUUCAUAUAUUUUUACUGUUAAAAACUGUUGUGGCUAACAGAAUAAUUAGAUAGUGACAUGUAGCAUACCAUGUAUACCUUAUGCUAAUAUAUGAGGACCAGUUGCUAACAAUAUAAAUAGAUAAAAUUUAUAAUA
rfam:Gossypium raimondii Chr12_contig_545, whole genome shotgun sequence.